AAAAUUCCUAAAAGCACGAAUUCAUCUCCUCCUAACCCUAAAAUUCACUUUUCCCGUCUCCAUCCGACUGAGCGGCGGCUGUGGGCAAUGAAACCCUAGCGAGUGAGGCGGGGGCGCGGUGCAGCGCCGCCUCCUCCCAUCCAGCUCGUCUCCCUCCCUCCCAAUCUCCUCCCUCAUCUCCCUCCCUCCCAAUCUCCUCACUCCCAGUCUCUUUCCCGUCCAUGGAUGGUGGUGGCAGCGCCAUGGAGCACGGCCGCACAACUUCGAUGUCGGGGCAGGUGGGCUCGGGCAUUGAACAGCUCCACGGGAGCAGCAACAUGCGGUGCAUCCAGUUGGGCUUGGGCAGUGCCCCGGCGCCAGACGCACGCGCUGGUUUCCGGCAAGCUGGACAUGGUGAUGGAAGUGCACCCUAUGUUAGUAGGGUGAGCAUCGAUGAAGCCAGAAGGAGGGAAAAUGUCAACCCCGACAAUGAAGAUAACAUUCUGAUGGGGAAUGGUUCAGCUCCAAGAGACACAGCUUGGAAAGGGCUUGUAAGCAAUGACAUCUAUUAUGUUUGGAACCAUGGCCCGAAGUUUGGUGGGGGAUUUGAUUGUCGGUACUGCCCCCUAAUCACUAGAGGAGGAGGUGCAACCCGCUUUAGGGAGCACCUUGGAGGUAUACCAGGUGAUGUGAGGGAGUGCCCUAAUGUUCCAAGAAAUAUUCAUGCUGCAAUGAGGGAAUCCCGGGAUGACUCAAUGCGGAAGAAGAGGGAAAAGAAAAAUUGUAGAUUUCGUUUGGAAAGGGAUAUCAUGGAAGGGUUGUACCACGGAGAAGGGGUGAUAAAUAUUGAAGAUGAUGAGGAAGAGAUCCAGGCCGCACUUCGGGAGACACUAAGAGACAAGAAUGUCUCUCGCGCAGUUGAGAGGAGGCGUGGGAGUGGCAGUGGUGUUUGUGUGUCUCUUGGGAAACAAAGUAUCACAUCAUACUUGGACAAGGAAUUGUCGAGCAACAAAGUAUCAAUGCAGCCAAAGAUCAACACUGCUUUGAAUGUUGAGUCAAAAGAUGUACUUGGCCAAGCUUGGGCAAAGUUUUUUCAUGCUAAUGACAUUGCUGGUCUGAAAGCAAAUUUUUCCUAUUUUCGUGCGGCUGUCAAGAUAACUCAAAACCUUGGCCCAGCUCCUGUUCCAACUGCCAAGGAGAUUGAUGGGAUAUAUUUGGCGAAGAAUUAUGAAGAAGCUGAGCAGUGGCUGAAGAUGUUCAAGCAAGACUGGAGGAACUAUGGUGUAACUGUGAUGUGUGACUCAUGGACAUGGCCUACUGGUAUGAGUCUCAUCAAUUUCAUGGUGUAUUGCAAUGCAUGGAUGUUCUUUCAUAAAUCCAUUGAUGCUUCUGGUCAAACUCAGACUGCAGAGUUUAUCUAUAGAGAGAUCAGAAAGGUUGUUGUGGAAGAGAUAGGUUCUGAGAAUGUUGUUCAAAUCGUAACCGAUAAUGGGUCAAAUUACAAGAAAGCAUGCAAAACUCUGGUAGAACAACCAGAGUUUAGUCAUAUUGUUUGGCAGCCAUGUGCUGCCCACACUGUUAACCUCAUGCUUAAGGAUGUUGCUAAGUUUCGUGAGAUUGACGUGAUAGUUAAAAGUGCUAAGCAGAUCUGUAGAUUUUUCUACAAUCACAAUAACCUACAUGAUAGCAUGAAAAAGAACAUUGGUGGUGAACUCAUAAAACCGAAUGCGACCCGGUUUGGAACGGUGUUCAUGUUCUUGGAGAGUUUCCAUUGUAAGAAAGAUGAGUUUAGGAAAUGGAUGGUGUCCGAUGAUUGGAAGGGAAGUACUUGGAACGGUGCUGCUGAUUAUGUCUUUGCUGAAGAGCUGCUAUCUAGUAAUAUGUGGUGGGCAGCUUUAGAGUGGGUUCUUGCUGUGCUAGAGCCACUCUAUAAAGCCCUUAUAUAUGCUGAUACACAAAAGAGAUGCACCCUAUCUGGAUUCAAGAAGAGUAUGAUGACAACCAUACAAAAGUUGGAAAGUCAUCUUGGUGGUGGAUCACAAAUGUUUCAUAGAGUCAUGAGCAAGGUGUCCAAGAGGAUCGAUGCUAUGCAAGAAGGCACACUAUUGGUUGCAGCUGCUGUCCUUGAUCCUUACACACAUUAUCAUAUCAACAUGAGCAAGAUUAUGGACUAUGCUCUUGCACUAACAGAUGCCAUUGAGAAGAUCGCAGACCCUGAGACCGCUGUUUUGGCCAUUGAUGAAGUCAACACUUACAGGGAAUGUCGUGGGAGGUUUGGCUCAAGGUUGGCACGUUCAUUUGCAGAGAAAAUGUCACCAACUGAGUGGUGGUUCCAAUUUGGAGGGGAAGUUCCUAAUCUGCAGAAGUGUGCCUUGAGGAUUGUAUCACAACGCGUUUCGUCAAGUGGUUGUGAGAGGAAUUGGAGCGCUUUUGCUUUGGUCCACACGAAGCAAAGAAACCGUCUUCUAUAUGGCAAGCUGCACAAGCUUGUAUCUAUGCGCUACAACUUGAAGAUACGUGCUGAAGAAGAACAAGACCAGGUGAGAGAGAAUGAUAAGCAGAAGGAAGUUGAUGCAUGUGCAAUGAUGAUGGAUACAACCAUGUUUGAUGCAACAAAUCCUAUGAUGGAAUGGUUGAAUGAGGAUGAGGAGCAUGCAAUCUUGGAUGGAGUUGAUGCUGCUAGCGCCGUGUUUGAGAAAAUUCGUUUGCUUAACUCAAGUAGGAAAGUUUCUCGUCUUGUAAGGAAGGACAAUGGCAGGAAAAGAAAGAGGGUAGAGGAAGAAGAGGAUGACUACCAUGAUAGUGAGGAUGAUGAUGAAGAAAAUGAGGAGCUGGACCUGGAAAUUGAUGAUGAUGAUAGCCAUGAUGAUGGUGCAAGUCAAUCCGAUGGAGGAGAUUCGCCAAUGCAAGUUGAAAAGGAUUUAACAAGCCAAGUUGGAAACAAUGUUGAGGUAACAAGGGAUGGUAAUUUGGUGAACCGUAGAUCUGAACGGGUUAGGCAAGGAAAGAAGGUCAAGGAGGUCACCAGCCUUUACAAUUGACAAGUUAAGCGGCAUGGGAGCAAAAGAGCUUUUGGUUUGAUGAAGACUAACGGGUGGAUGAACAGGAAGUCCGAAGUGAAGGUCUCUGUUUGAUUCAAUACUUUUGGUGCAAGACUGAAGAGUUGAAGAACAGGAAGUCUGAAUUGAACUUUCUGUUUGUAUUUUGGGGUCGGCAUAAUUGAACUUCGAAUGUCGUGUUAAAUUCAUUGUGGACUGUAAUUCUGAACCGUUAUGGGUGUUCGUUUCGACUCUUGGUAGAACUAUUAAGUCGCAUGUUACUCUUAGUAUCUGAACUAUCAAGUCACAUGUUAAUCUGGACUAUCAUGUUGCUUUUCUAAGGUUGCUGCUCUCUGAAUUGAUCCA
rnacentral:rRNA from 1 species